GUAAUUCUUAACCUAAUCUCGAUGAACAUGAUCAAUCUCGACGAAGGGGAGUUGUUGCAGGGCUCGAACCUGUGAACUUCAUUACCUUUGCAAUGCCUCAUCUUGGUUCGAGGGGGCAUAAACAGGUUCCUGUUUUCUGUGGUGUCUACACCAUGGAGAGACUAGCAACCCGUGCUUCGUUUCUACUUGGUAGAACGGAUCCGCGUUGGCGUUGCAGUCAUUUAAGAGGCGUGCAGCCUAUGCAAAUGCACGUUUUGACAAUAUUGUGGGGUGGAGUUCAUCAUCACUGCGUCGUCUGAGUGAGCUCCCAAAGUGCCGGAGUCUUGAGAGAAACGCUAAAUACCCCCAUAUCGUCAACGAGGAGAAAGCAAACUUCGUCAUCAGCCCUCAAGGAGAAGUUCCACUGGAAAUCAAAGCUGCUAGAGGCAGGACAAAGGAUAUGGAAGAGACGAUGAUCAGAGGGCUGACUAGGCUGAACUGGGAACGAGUCGAUGUCAGCUUCACCGGAAGUAUGCAAUGGCUUCUUGCACACAGCACAAUUCAGGCAAGCUUAUUGAGGCCUUCUAAG